rnacentral:lncRNA from 1 species
AUGAGACAAAUGGGCCACAUCCCGCCCCUCGUCAUAAGCCUCAUCAUAAGCCAUGGAAACACAUCAGUCACAGUCAAGGAGUCUCGCCUGGAGAAGAGUGUCUUGCUGGUGUCAGGCCUCAGCUCUGGAGCGAAUGUCUCCUAUAGGGGCAGGCAGAGUGUCUGUCAGGGCACUGGCACCUGGGUCUGGGCCCACUGGAGACUGGUCAGGGGGGUGGGCCAAGGGCUCACUGCCCAGGGAAUGGCUCCUUUCAGGUUCUGGGUCAACACUGGCAUCUCCUUUCUGCCCCUCCAAAUGGGGUGAUCCAUCCCAGGAGGCUGCAGAUUAAAGCAGCGUCGCUUAUUCCAGCUGCCUACUCCUCCUCCCUCCCCCCACCCCACCAGGGUCCACUUCUUGCCCCUGCCCCAGGAUACUCAGCCGCUGUUCCUCUCCUGCUGUGCAAUGAGAGGACUGAGUGGCAUCAGCUGAGAGACGAGGAGGGGAAAGUGUAGCUCGGGCUGGCCCACGAUCUGUGCUCCCACCAGCCUGACUGUGAAAAUCAAAAUCAGUUGGGUCUGCCGGCUGACUCAUUCAAAACCGGGAUCUGGGAGAGGCUGGAAGGCCUGCUGGGAAGUAGGAAGUAGGGAAGAAGAGGAGGCAGGGGCUGCUUUGGGGGUGGGGGGCAGAAAAGCCAGCCAGGCAUGGGAAGCACCCAAAGUCAGUGGUAGACAACUUGAUAGAGGGUCAGAGGUGGUAAACAUGAGGUUGGCAGGACCCUUGGUGGGAUUGCGCAGUAAGUGUGCCAAGCCCAUGGCCCUUAGAGAUGGUCAAGAACAACCCAUUAUUUUACAGGCGAGAAAUGAGGCUCAAAGGCAAACUGGGACUUGCUCAAGGUCAAACAACUGUGAGUCAGCGUCAGACCCACCGGACCCCGGGUCUGGAUUUGGGGUCGAUGGGAGGAAAGCCUUGUCUCCAGCACCAUGAGUCCAUUUAAAUAUAUGGCAAUGAAGUUCUUUUUAAUUUGCAUAGGAUGACUAUUUUCAUUGCACCUAAAAUUCUCCCUGUCCUUCCCCGCAAAUUCUAGCAGCAGGCUUUUCCACUGGCAUUGCUCCUUCUCUGAACUCCAGCCCCCCUGCACCUUGCUCUGUCUGGAGUAACCCCUGGGCCAGCCCUGGGAGAGGAUGCAAAGAAUGAUACAGUCCAUCCCAUUCACUCCUUGGGAGUCUCCAUCCCCCAGGCUUUUCCUUGUCUCCUGCCUCCGGCCAGACAAUUGAUUUUCACAAUUAACUGAAUCGCAAGGUGCCUGCUUGACCUCUCCAGCUGAUCCCUCCUUGUCUUAGGAGCCACCUCUCUGGACAGCUGCGUGUCUGCCCUGGACAGCCCACCCCCAAGAUAGAGCUCUCGCUGCUCAUUCACGUACCAUGCCAACUAUCCAGGGCCCUCCACAGGCCAUGGAAUCAUAAAGCAAUAAAUUCACACAACAUCAGAGCUGAAAGGGACUU